GCGAAAACUUUACAAUGCUGGCAACAGCGAUAAGGGAACCUCGAGUGCCAGGUUACAAAUCUGGCUGUCGAGAUGCCUAAAAAGCAUUUCAUAGCAAGGGCCGGGCAAGACCGGUGCCAGCCGCCGCGGUAACACCGGCGGCUCGAGUGGUAACCGUUAUUAUUUGGUCUAAAGGGUCUGUAGCCGGCCGGAUAAGUCUCUUGAGAAAUCUGGCAGCUUAACUGUCAGGCUUUCAGGAGAUACUGUCUGGCUCGAGGCCGGGAGAGGUGAGAGGUACUUCAGGGGGAGGGGUGAAAUCUUGUACUCCUUGAAGGAGCACCAGUAGCGAAGGCGUCUCACCAGAACGGACCUGACGGCAAGGGACGAAAGCUAGGGGCACGAACC
rnacentral:rRNA from 1 species